rnacentral:lncRNA from 1 species
GUAAGUGAAAUACCUUUUUUUAUCUUGGCUUCUACCACAUCCACCCUCCUGGUUAUGUUCCUGGCUCCUUCUGCUACUGCUUGGCCUCUCAUCUCAGCUGUUCCUACUCUACCCAAGAAGAAAAAUUUCCUAGUGCUCAGUCUUGGGCCUUCUUUUUGUUUUUCUACCUAGGGAAUCUCACUCAUUCUUGUGGUUUUAAUAUUAAGUGUCAGCUCCUCACUUCACAUACUCCAACCUGACCUCUGAAAUCCAGACUUCUCAACCACUGAGGCCUUAUCUUACAUUCUAUGUGAAGCUGGGUGCCCUUCCCUGACAUUUCUCUUCUUUAUAUCUGUGUCUUGCUAGACAGAAACUUCCAUAUGGCCAAAUCCAUGUUUACUUUCUUCAGUCUCAUAUGUCUCAAAAGAGUUCUUAACAAGGUCUUGCUAAGUUGCCCAGGCUGGUUUUGAAAUUGUGAUCCUCCUGUUUCAGUCUCCUGAGCUGAAGCUCAGGUGGGAUUACAGUAGCAGGAACCACAUGAAGAGUUUAAUAAAGGGGGACCAGCAUUAUAAAGAAGGUGAUGUACCUGAAGGAGCUCACAUGUAAGACAUACAGCCAGGCUUCAUAAGAGACCUGAAAAGCAGAAGCUGGAAAGUCAGAACCCUGAUUGGAGCUACUUCUCAAGGGUGUACCAUCUCUCCAUCCUGCGCCUCUCUGCACUUCCAUGUUAAGGAGAUUGAAAUAGGGUCCUUGCGCUUGCAAGGCAGGUGUUGGAACCACUGAGCUAAAUCCCUGGCCCAUGAAGGUCUAUUUUCAAGUCACAGACCAAGACUUGUACAGGAUGGUAGAAGAAAAUCUUCUGGAUUAGAAACCUCCUUCCCGCAGCAUGCAAGAUGCUCCUAUCAACCUGGUGAGAGGAUCAUUUUGACCAAUGAUUCUUACCCAGUGGUAUUCAAUCUUCUGAGGCCACAGAGCCCUUCUGUGGUAAGUGCAGACCACCUCCCCAGAAAAACAAC